rnacentral:miRNA from 1 species
CGCCCACCUCGGCCUCCCAAAGUGCUGGGAUUACAGGCGUGAGCCACUGCGCCCGGCCAAUAGUUCUGGUUUUUUUAAUGAUCAUGUAUUGCC